CCCUAGCCCAGAUAGAAGCGAUAUCCUUUUAUGCCGGGGUUCGGCAUAAAAGAUAUAGCGGAUAGCUGGAAUAGCU
rnacentral:sRNA from 1 species